GUUGCUUUUGCUAUUCCCUUUUGAGAACAAACCUUCACCGUUUGUUUGAUCUCUUUUAUGUGAAUUAAGCUCUAAUUCUCUGGUUUUUAUUGCUGAAAUAACAUUGUAUGUGGUGAUUUUUUGUCUUCCAUAUUUGAGAGUCAUCUUUACUUUUUUGUAUGCUUCUGGAAGUGAGUUGAGUAGAAUAAACGAUUUAUUUUCGUCACUAAUCUUGUCCCCAAUUCUUUGAAAUCUGAAGACAGCUUCUUGAAUUCUUAAAGAUUUUCUGUCAAAGAUUUGUUGUCAUCCAUCUUGAAGGUAAAGAACAUCUCCCUUACGUAUGCACAGUUAGGUAGAUCUUUGGACUUAUAGAUUUCAUCCAAUUUUAUCCAUAUUCCAUAAGUUGUUUCUCAAUGACUUCCCUAAGAACAUUAUCACUUAAGUUUAAAACUAUGGCACCAUAGGCUACAUUCUCCAUAGUUUCUUUGUCUUCUCGAGUCACUGUUUUAGGUAGCUUUUCUGGAUCUGUGAGGGCUUUCAAUGCCUUUUGCUGAUCGACUAUGACUUUGAUCUUAGCUUUCCAUAAGGUAAAAUCUCCUUAACCAUCAAAAGUCUCAAUAUCAUACCUUGCUACUGCAUCUUUGAGUUUCUUGAAAUCAAGAAUGUAACUUUUGAACCUUUCUUGAAUCUUUCUGUCGGCCCUGUUAUCAAUUUGAAGGGGUAGCCAUGUGUAUGAACACAUAAAAAACACUUCUUUGCAUGUAACAAAGAUGGUGAGAUGAGAGAAGAUGAAGAGAGGAAGAAGGAGAAGAUGAACUCACAAGAUUUUAAAGUGGUUCAGAAAAUACCUACGUCCACUGUGCUUGAGCAAGAUGUUACUUCAGUUAUAUGAUUGUAAUUUCAAAAUGGUACAAGGUAUGUAUAGUCUUCAUUAUGACUCUAGUUAAAACUCUAGUUAAAUCACAAGUUAAAAGAAGAUGCUCUAACUAAUUUGUAA